GAGAAGUUUCGCUUAAGCGGGAGCAAAGCUGUCUCAUGAUAGCUAGCAGGCAAGUCACUGCGAAACAAACUCAGUGCCUCCUUAUGCAGCAGAAUCAUUGACUGAAAUGUAAGCAACCAUACCCAAAACAGGUUUCAGGUCAGAUUGGAAAAGGAACUUCAUU